GCGAGGGUUGCCGAGCCAGGUCAAAGGCGACGGAUUUAGGGUCCGUUCGUGCAGACGUCCGCAGGUUCGAAUCCUGCCCCUCGCA
rnacentral:tRNA from 1 species